UACGAAGGGGACUAGCGUUGUUCGGAAUCACUGGGCGUAAAGCGCACGUAGGCGGAUGUGUCAGUCAGGGGUGAAAUCCCGGGGCUCAACCUCGGAACUGCCUUUGAUACAGCACGUCUCGAGUCCGGAAGAGGUGGGUGGAACUGCGAGUGUAGAGGUGAAAUUCGUAGAUAUUCGCAAGAACACCAGUGGCGAAGGCGGCUCACUGGCCCGAUACUGACGCUGAGGCACGAAAGCGUGGGGAGCAAACAGG
rnacentral:rRNA from 1 species